UACAGAGACUGCAAGCGUUAUUCGGAUUCACUGGGCGUAAAGGGUGCGCAGGCGGUUGGGUGUGUCAGAUGUGAAAUCCCGAGGCUCAACCUCGGAACUGCGUCUGAAACUACUCGACUAGAGUACUGGAGAGGGAAACGGAAUUCACGGUGUAGCAGUGAAAUGCGCAGAUAUCAGGAAGAACACCUAUGGCGAAGGCAGCUCUCUGGGACGGUACUGACGCUGAGACGCGAAAGCGUGGGGAGCAAACAGG
rnacentral:rRNA from 1 species